AUCCAGCUGACGAAUCCCAAAUAGGACAAAACUCAUGUUCUGGAU
rfam:Schistosoma mattheei strain Denwood, Zambia genome assembly, scaffold: SMTD_scaffold0018226